AGGCUCACAUGUUUUUCCUUCUUCAUUAUGUUGAUAAGAUGCAUUAUAUUAAUUUUUGAAUUUUGAACUAGUCUUUCAUUCCCUGAAUAAGCGCUGCUUGGAAUACUGUACUAUCUUUUCUCAUGUUGCUGGGUUUGACAAACUAGGUUUUUGUUGAGGAUUUUUGUUGAUUGUUUAAAUCUCAUUUCAUUGUCCUGGUCAGAUAGAAAGGCUUUCUUUCCCAUCCUCCCUUCCAGUUAUUUUGGGACCAUGUGAUUAAUUCUGGCCAAUUAGACAGAGGGAUGAGCUCUCUUUCAAAGUUGAAGCAUGAGUUUUCUUUCUCUCUUUCAUCUUCUGCCUGAGUGAUUAUGCUGAUAAUGUGAAGCCUGAAGAUGGAAACAGACUCAAUUCUUGAGUCAGUACUCAGCAGAGAGCUUCCCUGGAGAAUCCUCGGACCUGCAACAUGUUUAGGGGUGAAUGGAUAAGAUAUAUUGUUUAUUAAGUCAAUGAGAUGUUGGGAUUAAUUUGUUAACACGGAUUAGUUAAAUUAGUUAAAUUAUACUAACCCAUUAAGUAAAGAUAUAGAAUUUCAACAGGUUGUAUGAGAAAAUAAAAUAGCAUGAAGAUGAUUGUUACUUGAAAUUAAGUAACUCAGUUUAAAGCUACAUAUUUGUUAUUCAGAAUUGGGGCCAAAUUCAAACUAAAAUUAAAUGUUUGAAGGAAAAAAAUCCUAAGGAAUCACUACCUUCCAAGACUUAGUCAAGAAUAAAAAUGAGUAUUCAGUCAUUUUAGACUGAAUUUGUUUUCUACAAUAACAACUCCUAGAGCAGUUGUUUCCUUUCCAAGUCAUAGGAAUACAGAAUUAAAAUUUCCAGCAUGAGUAUUCAGUAGAGAGGUUUGGCUAGCUAACUCUUGCCCGAUCUAAAAACAAUCAGUGAGCACCUCUGAUAUCAGGCAAGGCCAGAUGAGCAAAAUGAAAUCUCUCAAACAUUUUACCUAUGAGUCAGUUACUGAUCACACUUUAACAGCUAGAAGGAACAAUAGGCAGUUUCACUGUAAUGGCUUUAUCUCUCUGCCCUAAGUGUUUUUUUUUUUUUUACUUAAACCAAUCACAUUUAGUCACUGAAUGCUUUAUAAAAAUAGCAGAUAGAUCACUAAGUUGAACAGUGUAUGUAUCUUACUAAACUCCUAAAGACUAAAUUCAGUUGUUAUCUAUCUAGAGUUUUUUUUAAUAACCACUAAAGCAUUAAGAUAAGGACAGUUUUUGACAGUGAUAUUCGUUUUAUUUCAUCUUUCAGUAGAUGGGGUUCUACAUGUAAUCAGAUUGGUACUUGGGGCCUAACAAUUAAUGGAAAUUUUCAAAUGGAGUUGGAGGUUGCCAUGUAGGACUUCCUCCAACAGUAGUUCCAUUUGGGCAUGGAGAAUAUUUUCUUUUUCAUCUAUGAUGUGGUUGAAAGAACGUUGCCAGGAGAGCUUAGACAAAGAGAUGUCCUCCUGUCUCAGGCACUCACUGGACGUGUCCUUGGUUACACAGAGGAUGUUAUCCAGGUCGUGUGUUGUGACAAUAAAACCACAAGAUUUUGAAGAAGGCUGCACCUCUGCAACCUCUGCAUUGAACUGUAUGAAGCACAGUCACUGGUCACCAGGCCUACAGUGGGCUGACUCUACAUGAAGAUGCACAUCCAGAGAUUCAUUUUCCUUGCCCCUGGGUCUGUGGAGUUAUAAAGAAGGAAGUAAUUAA